GUGAGCCUUGCCUUCAACAGAACCUCCCAUUUUUCACUUUUCAACCUCUGCUGGGCUCCAGGGACCUGGUAGGCACGGCUGUGGCCAGGUCACCGGGAAGCCCUGCGCUGGGAGGGGCCAUUGAGGAUCCAGUGUUCCACCUCCGGGUGUACACCCGAAGAAGUGAAAGCUGGAACGCCAAAAGAUUGCACGUCCAUGUCCACGCAGCACUGUCCACAGCAGCAAAAGGUGGAAACAACCCACGUGUCCUUAGAUGAGUAGAUAAACAAACCAAGGUGCGUCUUUCGGUACAAUGGAAUAUUACUCAGCCUUGUAAAGGCAAGUGACACAUGCUACAACAUGGAGGAACUUUGAGGACAUUAUUCUAAGUGGUAGAAGCCAAUCACAAAAGGACAAAUGCUGUAUGACUCCAUGAAUCUUGAGGUGUGCCUGGCACAGUCAGAUUCAUAAAGACAAAGUAGAUUAGAGGCUGCCAGGAACUGGGGGGAAGGAAUGACUUAGUUUCUAAUAGGGACAGAGUUUCUGCUUAGAAUGCUUAACAAGUUCUGGAUAUGGUGCGGAUGGUUGCACAUUUUAUGUUAUAUAUGUUUUAUGACAAUUAAGAAAUGACCUGUAAGCCUGCCAUCUGGAUAACUCCAGUAAACACAUCUUAAUUUAUGUGAACUAUGGUGUGUAUUUGUAAUAUAUAUGUGUUACCUAAAGUUACACAUGUUUAAAAAAUUCAGGCCAGGUGCAGUGGCUCACAUCUGUAAUCCCAGCACUUUGGGAGGUUGAGGUGGGCAGAUCAUUUGAGCUCAGGAGUUCAAGGUCACCCUGGGCAACAUAGACCCCAUGUCUACAAAAAAAUUUUUAAAUUAGCUGGGCAUGGUGGUGUGUCCCUAUGGUCCCAGCUUCAAUGCACACGGGAGCUACUCAGGAGGCUGAGGUGGGAGGAUUGCUUGAGCCCAGAAGGUGGAGGUUGCAAUGAGCUGUGGUUGCAUCACUGUACUCCAGCCUGGGUAACACAGUGACACCCUCUCAAAAAAAAAAAAAAAAAAUUAAACCAUGGAAGGCAUAAAAUUAGAAAUACAUCUACUUCCCAAUCCACUGAAUUUAUUGUCUCUCCCCAAAAUAAGUUUCUGGUUCUACUUUUGUAAAAAUAGUUUUGUGCUUUUCCUUAACUAUAUAUAUUAUAAAAAAUAUUCUGCCAGGCACGGUGGCUCAUGCCUGUAAUCCCAG
rnacentral:lncRNA from 1 species